UGCAGUCGAACGGCAGCACGGGGGCAACCCUGGUGGCGAGUGGCGAACGGGUGAGUAAAACAUCGGAACGUGUCCUGUAGUGGGGGAUAGCCCGGCGAAAGCCGGAUUAAUACCGCAUACGCUCUGCGGAGGAAAGCGGGGGAUCUUCGGACCUCGCGCUACAGGGGCGGCCGAUGGCAGAUUAGCUGGUUGGUGGGGUAAAGGCCUACCAAGGCGACGAUCUGUAGCUGGUCUGAGAGGACGACCAGCCACACUGGGACUGAGACACGGCCCAGACUCCUACGGGAGGCAGCAGUGGGGAAUUUUGGACAAUGGGGGCAACCCUGAUCCAGCAAUGCCGCGUGUGUGAAGAAGGCCUUCGGGUUGUAAAGCACUUUUGUCCGGAAAGAAAACCUCUGGCCUAAUACCGGGGGGGGAUGACGGUACCGGAAGAAUAAGCACCGGCUAACUACGUGCCAGCAGCCGCGGUAAUACGUAGGGUGCAAGCGUUAAUCGGAAUUACUGGGCGUAAAGCGUGCGCAGGCGGUUCGCUAAGACAGAUGUGAAAUCCCCGGGCUUAACCUGGGAACUGCAUUUGUGACUGGCGGGCUAGAGUAUGGCAGAGGGGGGUAGAAUUCCACGUGUAGCAGUGAAAUGCGUAGAGAUGUGGAGGAAUACCGAUGGCGAAGGCAGCCCCCUGGGCCAAUACUGACGCUCAUGCACGAAAGCGUGGGGGAGCAAACAGGAUUAGAUACCCUGGUAGUCCACGCCCUAAACGAUGUCAACUAGUUGUCGGGUCUUCAUUGACUUGGUAACGUAGCUAACGCGUGAAGUUGACCGCCUGGGGGAGUACGGUCGCAAGGAUUAAAACUCAAAGGAAUUG
rnacentral:rRNA from 1 species